ensembl:misc_RNA Metazoa_SRP Metazoan signal recognition particle RNA
GCUGGGCACGGUGGCGCGUGCCUGUAAUCCCAGCUACUCAGGAGGCUGAGGCAGGAGAAUUGCCUGAACCCAGGAGGCGGGGGUUGCGGUGAGCCGAGAUCGUGCCAUUGCACUCCAGCCUGGGUAAAAAGAGCGAAACUCUGCCUCAA